rnacentral:snRNA from 1 species
AAUAUAUUUUGAUGCUAUAUUUG